rnacentral:misc_RNA from 1 species
UCCCCCCCCCCCCCCCAAUUUAUGUGAUUAUUCAAGACAAAGGAGUUAUUGAAAAUGGCUAUCUAUGUGGCGCAUCCAUCAGUGCGGAUGAAAGGCGCCGAGGCAGACUGGACACCCAUACAAUGCACAGACAGGGAGUGUAGCCACUCCUUGAUGAAGGCUCCGCAUCUGCACUGUCCAUUCUGCUCCCAGGACAGUCUCUUCACUGAUGAGAUUCUCCUCAAGGCGCACUACAGGGUCAAGCACGUGGAUAAAGGCAUCAACUUUGGGGGUCGUGCUACAAGAUGACUUUUAAGGUCCAUGUGAGUUGAAUGCAACACUUGUCUAAGUGACAAGCCAGCCGAGUGCAGCAAGAUCCAUCAGGUCAAAAGUCUGAAGGCCAAAUUGCCUCUGAGUCUGUGGUCCUCGAACGCAGCAGGAUACAACUGAGGCAUUGUUCAAUGGGAUUAGCUCUCAUUGUUUCAGAACUGGCUGUUAAUGCACUGACAGUGUUGAUAGCUGAAAUGCAGCAAAGUGCACCAGACUUUUCCACCUGAUGCACUGUGCUGCAUGUGGCAGAGGGUUAAUUAAGAUAAGUUGAAGGCAGUGGACAGCAGGACAAGAUAGUGGCAUUUGUGGAAGUUUUAUGAAAGUGACAGAUACCUGGGCUGGUUAUUCUUUAAUAGCAGAUACCAGUGUUUGAUAGACUCAAUUGUCACAGGCCAUGCCCAAGAGCAGAAAUACUUCAAGGGUGCCCACUCGCACUGCUACCAUUGUCACAACGGGUUCAGCAGGAGGGACAAGGCUAUGAAGCACUACCAGCAACACUUCCGUAAUCCAGAGACCACAAUACAGAUAGUUAUUACUCGGUAUGUCAACUAGAUCUUCACUACAUACACUGACCCAGCACCCAACAGUGCCAGCCUGGUAACACACCUCAUAGUCCCCCAGUCACAGCAGCCAUCGGAGACGGACACAUCAUCCCCGGGGCUAUGAGCAGACUGACGGGCAGCAGCCGCAAAUCGAGUACCAGUAUGCCUGCAUCAAUGAUCCGAGCCAGAGCACUGCCAAUGGGGAAGUUGUCCUUAUUGAAAUACCAGACGAAGGAAGCAAAGAGGAUUUGGAGGACGAGACUUGCUACACAGAGCACAACUUGUCGCUGCUGCUGCAGGAGAAGGAAAGUCUGGAGAAGACUCUUGAGGAGGAGCAGACCACGUUGGCCCAGACAGAGCACAGGAUGAAAGGCACUAUAGAAAGGCUUCGUACAAAGGUUGAGUAUUUGUCCAACACAAACACGUCACUCAAGCAGCAGCUGUCCAUGAUUCACACGUCCAGUUUGA